ACAGAGAGCUAGAGAGAAAAACCAGUGAGCUCGAGAGGAAGAGAGUGACCUGUGUGUGUAAGGCUUGUGUGAGUUGGUACUGCGACGUCUUUCCUCCUUCGAAAGGUAAGCUUUUUCCUCUAUCUUCUACUUCAUUUUCAUAUUCAUUUGGUAUUCUUCUUUCCACUUACAACUAACCCAAACAGAAAGCACAAUAGCUUUAAUCAAAGCUUUAUUUUCUGCAAAUCAGAGUCUUCGGACUCCACAGGUUAUUUGCAGGUUGUAUUCUUCGCUCAGGAACUUGUUUUCUUGAGCAUUUGGACUUCAAUUAAGGUCGACAGUAAGAAGGAAGGAAUUGAAGAAAAAUGCGAGGCAACGACGGGAGAGGCCAAAUUGCUUCUGCCCAUAUCUACCAGGUGCCAAAACAUAGGGAAAAUGGGCUGACACGGCUAUGUCAUGUGCGAUGUGAGUGCGGAAUAUUGUCCAGGUGCCCAAAAGCGCUGGGAUAGGGCACCCUAAUACACUGCGUACGUGUAGUAUGCACGAAGAUGUGUGGCUUUGCCAGCAGCCCAUGUGUGUUGUAAGAGCCUGGGACAGGCAUUGCUUCUGUCGCGUGAGGUUGUGCACACAAAUGCGCGCAGGAUUUGUGUAUGGGCAUCUAAAAGUGCUGGGACAAUGGUCCCUCUGGCAUGUUGUUAUGUGUAGCAAGCCCUAAUAUGAUAUCUUGUAGCUCUAAAUCCAUGUCAGAAGCGGAGUUCCAAAGUGAGAGGGAAUCCCACAAGAAGCAGCCAACUUGCAAGUCAAUUGCCCACAAACAUAUAGACCUGUCCACGAGAAAACCCGCAAGCGGGGCACAUGCCGCACACGCCUGCGCACUUGCCCACAAGCUUGUAGACUUGAGAUCAAGUGGGUUGAGCCUUCUUGAAGCCUAAACCGGCCUAAGCGGUCCAAGGCCAAAACUCGAAAGCCCACAGCUCAUGUAACCAAAAGACUGCCCAAAAAGAGCUUGGAGAGCCCAACCUGAGAGGAUAAAAGGGCCUUGAGCUCGAGGUCUACCUUGGGAAGGCCAAAGAGCGGCUUGACCGCUGCCCAAGAAGGCAAAAAACUAGCCAAGCCUGUUUUUGCCACUAAUUAGCCAAGGCCGAGACUCAUUAAGAGAAAAACGGCUUGGCCACAAGAGGAGGUUGAUCAUCUUUGAAUCCGAUGAGGAGAGCAGCAAGCUGGUUUCAAAAAGGAAAAAGAAGAAAAAGACUCCUUGAAGCAAUUGGUCAAGGAAUUCCUAAUUCUUGUUGAAUUCAAACGUAUGGAAAGAGAAGGAAGAUGAUUUCUACCUACAUGAGGAGAUCCUUCUCCUACCUUCAUUACAAGUCCAACAACAAGAAGAUUCCACAUCUCUGUCGAAGAAUACAUGCUAUAAAAAGAAGAGUUCAAGUUAUAAACCAUCAACCAAGGCGAUGAAGCAAGCAUUCAACAUGAAAAAAAACCCGAAAGCAUUAUGAAAUCAGCCUAGAAGGAAUUCCACAUGUUGUAGACCUCUUGAAGAAUCCUACAUAAAAUCUAGGUGAUUUACAACAAGACUCUUAUUCAAAAAUCAUCAAGAACAAGAGAAAAAUGGAAAGUCAACUUCAACUGUAAGGAGGAGUUUUAUUAUUUUAGUUGUUUUAUUUCUUUGAAUUAUCCUAUUAGAUAAAGUAUGAUUAUUUUGAUUUAAAUGUAUUUGUUCUCUAAUUAAAUUAAAUCUUAGAAUUUG